UAGGAAAUAUUUAAAACACUGACACUGUCUUCAUUCAUGCUUGACCCGAAAUGUCUGAUUUUUCCUCAGCUGUUAUAUCUACCAGCCAAAACUCUAUCCAUCCUGUAUUGGUUGUAUUUAGUUAUACCUUCUCAAAGGUCUUCUGCAACAACAGAGGUUAGAGAUUCCCAGUGAUGGCUGAACAAAGGAAUCAAUGAUGAGUUUUUUAUUCCAAUGUCCACACCUGAUUCUGGUUCAAGUUCAUCAGAAUUGGUCAGGAUUUAUCUCCCACGUGAGGGCUUUCCUGAAUAACCUGGGAGGACAGCGUGACUCUGCUGGAAGAAUACUGAAUUUUAAGAGAAAAAUAUAUUAGGAAAAUAACAGCUGAACUCACCAGGAAGAAAGAAAUGGGAUUUUGUUGUUGCCGUAAAUGAUGGGGGAACAUUACGACAGAACUUCAGGCUGUUGCUGAAGUAGUUCAGAGGUAUGGGAUCUGGAAUAAAGUUGACAGAUCGGAGUAUUGCAGCUCAUGUGGGAACAGAAGCUGUAGUUUUGUCUUCUUGUAAGAUGGUGAGCUGAGAUACAACCCUCUGCAAAGACAAAAGGUAUUGAUGUCGCUAUUGGUUACAAUGCCUGUAGAAACUGGCUUAGAAAAACCACAGGUCUAGAGAUCCGGCAGGAAACAUGUCAUUACCACAUCCAUGAAUGGAAAAAAUGUAGCCUAGGUAAGAUAAAAAUCCCAGUUCCAAAUCAGAUGCUGUGAAUUCUGAACGUUUACUGCUCAUGAGAUAGGAAGACAAAAGUUGAUACGUUAACAUUGGUUCCAGCAGUAUCUAUAGCCCACAAUACAUGAGACUCCCACAAAGAAAAUCCACCCUUACUGGAGAUGAUAUAACAAUAAACAAUUCAAAGAAUACAUGAAAAAUUAAUCACAGUGCAAAAAGAGCCAACAAAUGAAGCAAACAUAAAAAUUAACAUUUAAAAACUAGGGAUAAAAAUGAUCCCUAGUCUCACAUGACUGUCAGAUAUUAGUAUUUAAAGUUAUUAAAUACAAGAAGGUACAAACCCCACAAUGGAAGUGGUAUGGCAAUAAAAAAAACCUAAAUAUUGGACAGAGCCAAAUGAAAUCUCUAACAAUGACAAGAAAAGAUAUAUAGAACAUUAAAGUCAACUCA